GUUACAAACUCCUAAGCUAUUAAUGGAUGAGGAUAUUACAUGUACUAGAUAAAAGCGAACAUAAACUGAAGGAAAGCCAAAAGAAGAUAAAUGAAGAAAUCAUCGUUUAGGGAUGUAUUGUCUGUUUGCUGUUUCGUGGUACUAGUAAUAGUAGAGAUAUCGAUGAUGCAUAAUAAUCAUUUCUUUGGUUAUGGAGUAGCAGACAACUGCGCCGAGGUCCUCUCCACUUACCACCGUCCAUCGGCAAGUUUCAUCCAAGUGAAACAAUACUUGGACAUCCGCUCAAGAAAGCUGAUUAGUGGCAGAAGGAAGUUAGUGGAACCGCCGAAGACAGGAGACCCACCUCCCCGUUCUAAUCCGCCAGGGCCCGUGAGUGCUCCCGUGGACAGGUGAACUCUCCCAUGAUUAGUCUUGAGUGUAUUAUGUACAUGUCGGUCUCUUGGGGUGCAAAUUACUAGAAACCAGAGGCAUGCACACCUAAUAAUGCUUGUUAGAUUGAAUAGAGUGGGCUUUCAAUUUUACAGAAAAGCAUGCGCGUACCCAUUUUUAACAUUGUAUCCAAGUACUUAGUUGUUGCUUUAUUUAUUUUUGCAUGUUGAAUUGUUUCAUUUUCUAA